rfam:Felis catus isolate Cinnamon breed Abyssinian chromosome C1, whole genome shotgun sequence.
GCCUAGCUGGCUUAGUCAGUACAGCACGUGACUCUUGAUCUCAGGGUCAUGAGUUCAAGUCCCAUGUGGGGCA